rnacentral:rRNA from 1 species
AGUGAACGCUGGCGGUAGGCCUAACACAUGCAAGCCGAACGGCAGCACAGUAAGAGCUUGCUCUUACGGGUGGCGAGUGGCGGACGGGUGAGGAAUACAUCGGAAUCUACAUUUUCGUGGGGGAUAACGUAGGGAAACUUACGCUAAUACCGCAUACGACCUACGGGUGAAAGCAGGGGAUCUUCGGACCUUGCGCGAUUGAAUGAGCCGAUGUCGGAUUAGCUAGUUGGCGGGGUAAAGGCCCACCAAGGCGACGAUCCGUAGCUGGUCUGAGAGGAUGAUCAGCCACACUGGAACUGAGACACGGUCCAGACUCCUACGGGAGGCAGCAGUGGGGAAUAUUGGACAAUGGGCGCAAGCCUGAUCCAGCCAUACCGCGUGGGUGAAGAAGGCCUUCGGGUUGUAAAGCCCUUUUGUUGGGAAAGAAAAGCAGCAGGUUAAUACCCCGCUGUUCUGACGGUACCCAAAGAAUAAGCACCGGCUAACUUCGUG